GUUUUUAUGGUGUAAAAAACACAUUGUAUUUUCAUUACAAAACUGAAAUUCUAUUUCUAAAAAUA
rnacentral:tRNA from 1 species